UAGGCGUAAAUGAUGCGAGUUAAGUGUGGGGGCAUCUACGAGAUGGCCCUGUGCUGUAGGGUAGCCGUUAAACUCGCUGCUUGGGGAGUACGGUCGCAAGGCUGAAACUUAAAGGAAUUGGCGGGGGAGCACCACAAGAGGUGGAGGCUGCGGUUCAAUUGGACUCAACGCCGGAAAUCUUACCGGGACCGACAGCAACAUGAAGGCCAGGCUGAAGACUUUGCCGGAUUAGCUGAGAGGAGGUGCAUGGCGUAGUCGUGU
rnacentral:rRNA from 1 species